AAAUUGAAGAGUUUGAUCAUGGCUCAGAUUGAACGCUGGCGGCAGGCCUAACACAUGCAAGUCGAACGGUAACAGGAAGCAGCUUGCUGCUUCGCUGACGAGUGGCGGACGGGUGAGUAAUGUCUGGGAAACUGCCUGAUGGAGGGGGAUAACUACUGGAAACGGUGGCUAAUACCGCAUAACGUCGCAAGACCAAAGAGGGGGACCUUCGGGCCUCUUGCCAUCAGAUGUGCCCAGAUGGGAUUAGCUUGUUGGUGAGGUAACGGCUCACCAAGGCGACGAUCCCUAGCUGGUCUGAGAGGAUGACCAGCCACACUGGAACUGAGACACGGUCCAGACUCCUACGGGAGGCAGCAGUGGGGAAUAUUGCACAAUGGGCGCAAGCCUGAUGCAGCCAUGCCGCGUGUAUGAAGAAGGCCUUAGGGUUGUAAAGUACUUUCAGCGGGGAGGAAGGUGUUGUGGUUAAUAACCGCAGCAAUUGACGUUACCCGCAGAAGAAGCACCGGCUAACUCCGUGCCAGCAGCCGCGGUAAUACGGAGGGUGCAAGCGUUAAUCGGAAUUACUGGGCGUAAAGCGCACGCAGGCGGUCUGUCAAGUCGGAUGUGAAAUCCCCGGGCUCAACCUGGGAACUGCAUUCGAAACUGGCAGGCUUGAGUCUUGUAGAGGGGGGUAGAAUUCCAGGUGUAGCGGUGAAAUGCGUAGAGAUCUGGAGGAAUACCGGUGGCGAAGGCGGCCCCCUGGACAAAGACUGACGCUCAGGUGCGAAAGCGUGGGGAGCAAACAGGAUUAGAUACCCUGGUAGUCCACGCCGUAAACGAUGUCUACUUGGAGGUUGUGCCCUUGAGGCGUGGCUUCCGGAGCUAACGCGUUAAGUAGACCGCCUGGGGAGUACGGCCGCAAGGUUAAAACUCAAAUGAAUUGACGGGGGCCCGCACAAGCGGUGGAGCAUGUGGUUUAAUUCGAUGCAACGCGAAGAACCUUACCUGGUCUUGACAUCCACAGAACUUUCCAGAGAUGGAUUGGUGCCUUCGGGAACUGUGAGACAGGUGCUGCAUGGCUGUCGUCAGCUCGUGUUGUGAAAUGUUGGGUUAAGUCCCGCAACGAGCGCAACCCUUAUCCUUUGUUGCCAGCGGUUAGGCCGGGAACUCAAAGGAGACUGCCAGUGAUAAACUGGAGGAAGGUGGGGAUGACGUCAAGUCAUCAUGGCCCUUACGACCAGGGCUACACACGUGCUACAAUGGCGCAUACAAAGAGAAGCGACCUCGCGAGAGCAAGCGGACCUCAUAAAGUGCGUCGUAGUCCGGAUUGGAGUCUGCAACUCGACUCCAUGAAGUCGGAAUCGCUAGUAAUCGUGGAUCAGAAUGCCACGGUGAAUACGUUCCCGGGCCUUGUACACACCGCCCGUCACACCAUGGGAGUGGGUUGCAAAAGAAGUAGGUAGCUUAACCUUCGGGAGGGCGCUUACCACUUUGUGAUUCAUGACUGGGGUGAAGUCGUAACAAGGUAACCGUAGGGGAACCUGCGGUUGGAUCACCUCCUUACCUUAAAGAA
rnacentral:rRNA from 1 species